UGGAUUAGUGGCGAACGGGUGAGUAACACGUGGGCAAUCUGCCCUUCACUCUGGGACAAGCCCUGGAAACGGGGUCUAAUACCGGAUAACACUCUGUCCUGCAUGGGACGGGGUUGAAAGCUCCGGCGGUGAAGGAUGAGCCCGCGGCCUAUCAGCUUGUUGGUGGGGUAAUGGCCUACCAAGGCGACGACGGGUAGCCGGCCUGAGAGGGCGACCGGCCACACUGGGACUGAGACACGGCCCAGACUCCUACGGGAGGCAGCAGUGGGGAAUAUUGCACAAUGGGCGAAAGCCUGAUGCAGCGACGCCGCGUGAGGGAUGACGGCCUUCGGGUUGUAAACCUCUUUCAGCAGGGAAGAAGCGCAAGUGACGGUACCUGCAGAAGAAGCGCCGGCUAACUACGUGCCAGCAGCCGCGGUAAUACGUAGGGCGCAAGCGUUGUCCGGAAUUAUUGGGCGUAAAGAGCUCGUAGGCGGCUUGUCACGUCGGAUGUGAAAGCCCGGGGCUUAACCCCGGGUCUGCAUUCGAUACGGGCUAGCUAGAGUGUGGUAGGGGAGAUCGGAAUUCCUGGUGUAGCGGUGAAAUGCGCAGAUAUCAGGAGGAACACCGGUGGCGAAGGCGGAUCUCUGGGCCAUUACUGACGCUGAGGAGCGAAAGCGUGGGGAGCGAACAGGAUUAGAUACCCUGGUAGUCCACGCCGUAAACGUUGGGAACUAGGUGUUGGCGACAUUCCACGUCGUCGGUGCCGCAGCUAACGCAUUAAGUUCCCCGCCUGGGGAGUACGGCCGCAAGGCUAAAACUCAAAGGAAUUGAC
rnacentral:rRNA from 1 species